AUGAUACAGAAGAACAUGUAUAGAGACGGCAGAAAAAAGAGAGGACCUAAGCAUCAGACUUCGAGGUUGACGGAGGGCAUCUCGAACUCGGACGUGAUCUCCGCGAUCUGCUUGCGGACGCUCAUGUCGAUGAAGUUGGAGCUGUCGCGGCCGUACUGCACGGUGAAGCCGGCGAUGAGCUCCGGGUCAAGUCGGGUCUUGAUCCGGACGUUGGCGGCGCCGGUGAUGUUCUGCACGUGCGUGGCGAUCUGCGCGAGGUCCUGCGACUCGAGCUGCACGACGGAGGUGACGACGGCCUCCUCGGUGCCGGUGAGCGCGUUGUAG
rnacentral:rRNA from 1 species